rnacentral:hammerhead_ribozyme from 1 species
UUCCAACUGACAAGUCCCAAAAAGGACGAAACGCGUGUCCUGGAU